UUAUAGAAACCUAAAGUGUUGAAUUUAUCUAUUCUAAACUUCAACUUUUCUGUAGGCAUCUUACUUCCAACCAUUUUUCUGGGAAUCUACUUGCUACAUUUGCAAAUCUCACUAAAUUGAAUCACGUUCGACUAGGCAAUAAUCAAUUUUUUGAAACUAUACCAAAUUUUAUUCAAAACUGGACAACUCUUUAGAGAUUGUGUGAAUCUUUACCUUAUUCCCCUGAAAUUUAAAUUUUUAGCUGUUUCUUUUUGAAAUACAUUUUAGUUAUAAUUGGCUGACCAAAGAAUUGUUCUUAAUUGUUCCAGGGUGGUGCAAGGGAGUGAGAAAAAAGUGACGAGCUUGCCCUGGCUUUUGCUGCUUGAUGCUAGCCUUGCUUGUCAUGAUACAUCAAAAUCAAACUCCAAUAGA